rnacentral:rRNA from 1 species
AGAGUUUGAUCCUGGCUCAGGAUGAACGCUAGCUACAGGCUUAACACAUGCAAGUCGAGGGGCAGCAUGGUCUUAGCUUGCUAAGGCCGAUGGCGACCGGCGCACGGGUGAGUAACACGUAUCCAACCUGCCGUCUACUCUUGGACAGCCUUCUGAAAGGAAGAUUAAUACAAGAUGGCAUCAUGAGUCCACAUGUUCACAUGAUUAAAGGUAUUCCGGUAGACGAUGGGGAUGCGUUCCAUUAGAUAGUAGGCGGGGUAACGGCCCACCUAGUCUUCGAUGGAUAGGGGUUCUGAGAGGAAGGUCCCCCACAUUGGAACUGAGACACGGUCCAAACUCCUACGGGAGGCAGCAGUGAGGAAUAUUGGUCAAUGGGCGAGAGCCUGAACCAGCCAAGUAGCGUGAAGGAUGACUGCCCUAUGGGUUGUAAACUUCUUUUAUAAAGGAAUAAAGUCGGGUAUGCAUACCCGUUUGCAUGUACUUUAUGAAUAAGGAUCGGCUAACUCCGUGCCAGCAGCCGCGGUAAUACGGAGGAUCCGAGCGUUAUCCGGAUUUAUUGGGUUUAAAGGGAGCGUAGAUGGAUGUUUAAGUCAGUUGUGAAAGUUUGCGGCUCAACCGUAAAAUUGCAGUUGAUACUGGAUAUCUUGAGUGCAGUUGAGGCAGGCGGAAUUCGUGGUGUAGCGGUGAAAUGCUUAGAUAUCACGAAGAACUCCGAUUGCGAAGGCAGCCUGCUAAGCUGCAACUGACAUUGAGGCUCGAAAGUGUGGGUAUCAAACAGGAUUAGAUACCCUGGUAGUCCACACGGUAAACGAUGAAUACUCGCUGUUUGCGAUAUACUGCAAGCGGCCAAGCGAAAGCGUUAAGUAUUCCACCUGGGGAGUACGCCGGCAACGGUGAAACUCAAAGGAAUUGACGGGGGCCCGCACAAGCGGAGGAACAUGUGGUUUAAUUCGAUGAUACGCGAGGAACCUUACCCGGGCUUAAAUUGCAGAUGAAUUACGGUGAAAGCCGUAAGCCGCAAGGCAUCUGUGAAGGUGCUGCAUGGUUGUCGUCAGCUCGUGCCGUGAGGUGUCGGCUUAAGUGCCAUAACGAGCGCAACCCUUGUUGUCAGUUACUAACAGGUUCUGCUGAGGACUCUGACAAGACUGCCAUCGUAAGAUGUGAGGAAGGUGGGGAUGACGUCAAAUCAGCACGGCCCUUACGUCCGGGGCUACACACGUGUUACAAUGGGGGGUACAGAGGGCCGCUACCACGCGAGUGGAUGCCAAUCCCAAAAACCUCUCUCAGUUCGGACUGGAGUCUGCAACCCGACUCCACGAAGCUGGAUUCGCUAGUAAUCGCGCAUCAGCCACGGCGCGGUGAAUACGUUCCCGGGCCUUGUACACACCGCCCGUCAAGCCAUGGGAGCCGGGGGUACCUGAAGUGCGUAACCGCGAGGAGCGCCCUAGGGUAAAACUGGUGACUGGGGCUAAGUCGGAACAAGGUA